AAUAAGAGGAUGACAAAUCAGAUUUUUCCUCCUAAUUUUCAACUUUUCCUUUUAAAAAAAUUUAAAUCCAAGUAAAAAUGCUAAAAAUUAGGAGGAAAAAUCCUAUUUGUCAUUCUCCUAUU
rfam:Gossypium arboreum cultivar AKA8401 contig_22633_1, whole genome shotgun sequence.